GGGUUUGGUUGGGGAAUAAAAUUUCAUGUUCGGUUUUUUGGUUCGAUUCUGGGAUUCCCAAAAUCCCAAAGUUUCUUAUUAUUUUCUAUUAUCGACAAAAGAAAAAACAUCGUAUAAGAAAUGAUUGAUUCAUACGUUAGGGCAUAGCUCAUUUUCGCUUCAAGACUGAAAUUACGGUUCGUGAAACCGAGAGGCCGAGAGUCCCCAUGUCCCUCAAUGGUGAUUCCCGAUGAUUCCCUCGACGGUUCAACCCCUCCUCUCUAGGGUGGCGAUUCCCAGUCUAGACGUCGGAUUCUUCUUCUUUUGCUACGAUGAUUCCCAACGAUUCCCUCAUUGUUCUGGAAUCUGAUUUAAGGUGAGAACACAUCUCCAACCCACUAUGGGUUUUAUUGUGAGGUUUUGAUUGUUUCUUAUUUCUUUGCGUAACAGUGGUCAUCGUCGAUUUGUACAGGUGCGGCUGUUGAUUCUGCGAACACACCUCUACUACUUUCGUCGGUGAACAACAUUCAAUUGAGGUGUGAAUAAUGAUUGAUUUAUGCUCCACUUUGGUUUUUGAUUAACUCUACAAUAGCUUUCUAUCUGCUAUCUCAAUUGUAAAAUCCUGCCAAAAGACAUUACAUUACAAGGAUGGCUUGUAAAAUCUAAGAAUAUAUGCUAAUGGCUUCAGUUAAAAUCAGGGUGAGUAUUGAGCUUGCUUCACUACUGUCUAUUGAAUACUCAGAACUGAAUUUUGGUCUUUCUUCAUCCCACUUAACUAUCUCCCUCGCAUAUUUAAGAGAUGAGUUGAUAGUGUCAGAUGCUAUAGAUUAUAUUGAUCCUGGGCCUAGUCGAAUAUGAUAAAGAUGAAGAGGGUGAAAAUGAAUAUGUUGAUUCUGUAAGUAUUCUUAAAUUUAUUUAUAGUUAGUAGAAUGGAAUAGUGCUCGAUAUUGUGACUGUGACUGAAUUCUGGCUGUUUGUUUUUCAAUUCUAUUUCUUGGUAUUGCAAUGGUUUUGCAUCACUCAUUUAAGAUAUAUGAGACUGUUGCAGUUUAUAGUUUCAAAACACAUGCUACUCACUGUGUUUCAGUUAACAAUGGAACUCGGUAAGCUCAAAUUCGGUCUCAGUUUUAAAUUUUUAGCAUACUCAUAUUUCUUUUGGCCAUUUAAUUUAAAAAAUUCUCUCGAUGGUGUUUGAUGGAGCUCAUUUCUAGUAUUUUUGUUACAGAGUCUGGAUGGUAUUUGAUGGAGCUUAUUUCUAGAUUUUUUGUUGUAGAGUCUGGAUGGUGUGUAAUGGAGCUCAUGAGCUGUAGUAGUUUUAAUGGAGUGUGGGGUUUGUAGUUUCAAAUGUUGGGUAUUCAAAAUGUUGCGGUUUGAUUCAAUAAGUUAUUUUGUUUGUAUGAAUUGUCAUGGGCUGUAACCAUGUUGCGCUUUACAAUGAUUUAGGACUUGUCGCAAUGAAAUAAAAAUUUCGGGAAAAAAACUUAAUUUGGGACUCCAAAUCUUGAAUUUAAUUUCUUGAACAAAAUUUCGUAAAUUUGGGAUUCGGGAAUUUGGAAUUUCAAGACUUCAUAAAUUCAGGAACGGGGUCCCAUUCCCUUCCCGAUUUACAAGCCUAAGCAAAUGU
rnacentral:lncRNA from 1 species